UACGUAGGCAGCGAGCGUUGUUCGGAAUUACUGGGCGUAAAGAGUGCGUAGGCGGUGCUCUAAGUCUGUUGUGAAGUCUCCCGGCUCAACUGGGAGGGUGCGGCGGAAACUAGAGUGCUAGAGUAUGGGAGAGGUAAGCGGAAUUCCUGGUGUAGCGGUGAAAUGCGUAGAUAUCAGGAGGAACACCUGUGGUGUAGGCAGCUUACUGGACCAUGACUGACGCUGAGGCACGAAAGCGUGGGUAGCAAACAGG
rnacentral:rRNA from 1 species